AUACGGAGGAUCCGAGCGUUAUCCGGAUUUAUUGGGUUUAAAGGGUGCGCAGGCGGGAGAUUAAGUCGGCGGUGAAAUUUUGCAGCUCAACUGUAAAAGUGCCUUCGAAACUGGUUUCCUUGAGUGGAGAUGAAGUAGGCGGAAUUUGUGGUGUAGCGGUGAAAUGCAUAGAUAUCACGAGGAACUCCGAUUGCGCAGGCAGCUUACUAAACUACUACUGACGCUCAGGCACGAAGGCGUGGGGAUCAAACAGGAUUAGAUACCCUGGUAGUCCACGCAGUAAAUGAUGAUUACUAGCUGUUUGCGAUACAAUGUAAGCGGCUGAGCGAAAGCGUUAAGUAAUCCACCUGGGGAGUACGUUCGCAAGAAUGAAACUUAAAGGAAUUGACGGGG
rnacentral:rRNA from 1 species